CCUACGGGAGGCUGCAGUGAGGAAUAUUGGUCAAUGGGCGCGAGCCUGAACCAGCCAAGUCGCGUGAGGGAAGACGGCCCUAUGGAUUGUAAACCUCUUUUGUCGGGGAGAAAAAGACGCCACGUGUGGCGUUACGAUAGUACCAUAAGAAAAAGGAUCGGCUAACUCCGUGCCAGCAGCAGCGGUAAUACGGAGGAUGCGAGCGUUAUCCGGAUUUAUUGGGUUUAAGGGGGGAGAAGGGGGAUGAUCAAGGUGGUGGGAAAAUUGGGGGGCUCCACCUCAUCUCGCCGUUGAAACUGGGUGUCUUGAGUGCGUGAGAGGUAUGCGGAAUGCGUGGUGUAGCGGUGAAAUGCAUAGAUAUCACGAAGAACUCCGAUUGCGAAGGCAGCAUACUGGCGCGCAACUGACGCUCAUGCACGAAAGUGUGGGUAUCGAACAGGAUUAGAUACCCUUGUAGUU
rnacentral:rRNA from 1 species